rnacentral:rRNA from 1 species
GACGAACGCUGGCGGCGUGCUUAACACAUGCAAGUCGAACGGAAAGGCCCUGCUUUUGUGGGGUGCUCGAGUGGCGAACGGGUGAGUAACACGUGAGUAACCUGCCCUUGACUUUGGGAUAACUUCAGGAAACUGGGGCUAAUACCGGAUAGGAGCUCCUGCUGCAUGGUGGGGGUUGGAAAGUUUCGGCGGUUGGGGAUGGACUCGCGGCUUAUCAGCUUGUUGGUGGGGUAGUGGCUUACCAAGGCUUUGACGGGUAGCCGGCCUGAGAGGGCGACCGGCAACAUUGGGACUGAGAUACGGCCCAGACUCCUACGGGAGGCAGCAGUGGGGAAUAUUGCACAAUGGGCGGAAGCCUGAUGCAGCAACGCCGCGUGCGGGAUGACGGCCUUCGGGUUGUAAACCGCUUUCGCCUGUGACGAAGCGUGAGUGACGGUAAUGGGUAAAGAAGCACCGGCUAACUACGUG